GCCUCUUAUUCACAUAGUAUGUACUUUGCAUUACGUUUAGGUGACAUCACGGGCUUGACGUGUGAGGACUGAGCUGUGAGGGGGUAAUUCACACUCCCCUCAAUACUGGUACUGUGAGAAGCCCUCUGCAAGGCCCACUCUUAGUGUGAGAAUCAUUUCAACCAUCUGUAAAUAUCAUCACUUUUCCCAUCUCUAAAUAUCACCUGUCCAAGGCAUGGGUAUGCAGGGGUUUUCUGGCUCCUAAUGUAUUGCUUGCUUCUGUUGGCUGUGAAUUGCUGCCCCGAUCUUUAUCAGGCUGUUUGAAGGCUAAGCUGUGUUGUUUACAUGCUUUCUGCACUGACUAGAAAAAGUUAGAGUAAUAUGAUAUUUUGUCAUGUCCCUACAUAGGGCCAGGUGUAAAAUUCACCCUUUGCACCAUAGUUUUAACACACUGCAUUUGAAAUGUAUGAUUUUGGUUUAAAAUAAAAAAUGACAUGCAUUAUGACAGUGGACAGCAUACAAGGUAUAAUACUGUAUAUCAAUAUUAGAGACCUGGGAAAACAUUAUAUUCAAGUGAAAAAAACAGCACCCUCAUUUAGUCUGUUUUGACGUUGGUGGAAUAAUCCAUCAAUCGGUGGAUGUGUUAGACUUGAUUUAGGUUCCACUGGCAUUCAUUAACCAUUACAAUGUAGGGGAAUAUCCUGUAGAUAUAAGGAUUGUGUUUCAUAGGGGCAUUCUUGCCAUUACAAUAUGUGAUGAAGGCAGUCUUUUAUAUUCAUUUGUUUCCAUUUCAUUUGAGGGGCUCACACAGAAAGUGACCCCAAGAUUAUCUUACAGUCGCUCAGGUCAUUUUUUAGGUUUUUUGAGGUAAAGAUUUUCAUUAUUUCAAUUAAAUAAAGUAUUUUUGAAAGUAUAUUUUCAUAGAUUUGGCAAUAACUAUCUACAUUUUCAUCUUCCUGACACUUAAAAAUCCAAAGAUACCCAAAACCGAAGGGUAUACAGCAAUUACCAGUGACCUGCGUGACUUUCAAGCUAUGGUAACUACAGCAAAGCAAACAAGAUUUGGUUGUGAUAAUAAUAAGUCAACAUCUUCAGGCCAAAGUUUGUUUCCUAAACAAAGAGCAGAGAAAAGGUCUUUGUAAUUUAUAAUAGGCAAGCAGUCAAAUUUACAAGAUUUGACCAGAGGUGGAAAGUCCAGGGGUCAGAAAGUAAAAGUCCUGUCAUGUGUGUCAUCCACCCAUGAAAUCAGCCAUCUGACUUCACUAAUUAGUUCUGCCAUCUAGCAGAAGAAUUGGGCAAAUUAGCAAAUACAAGUAACUGGAACAAGAUAGUGGUGAGUUACUUUCUGAAUCUAGAUUUUCCACAAAGGAUUUGACGAAACGUAUGUCUGAAAUAUAUUGUGGAUUCCUGUUUGGUCUUAUUUUAAUUCAUUAUGUCCUUAAAUGCCAACAUGACUUUAUCAUAAAUAUAUAACUGAAUACA